rnacentral:rRNA from 1 species
AUACGGAGGAUCCGAGCGUUAUUCGGAUUCAUUGGGUUUAAAGGGAGCGUAGGCGGACGCGUCAGUCAGUUGUGAAAGCUUGCGGCUCAACCGUAAAAUUGCAGUUGAUACUGGGUGUCUUGAGUACAGUAGAGGCAGGCGGAAUUCCGGGGGUAGGGGUGAAAUGCUUAGAUAUCACGAAGAACUCCGGUGGCGAAGGCAGCUCACCGGGCCGGAACUGACACUGAUGCUCGAAAGUGCGGGUAUCAAACAGGAUUAGAUACCCUGGUAGUCCGCACAGUAAACGAUGAAUACUCGCUGUUUGCGAUACACGGUAAGCGGCCAAGCGAAGGCGUUAAGUAUUCCACCUGGGGAGUACGCCGGCAACGGUGAAACUCAAAGGAAUCGACGGGG